rnacentral:rRNA from 1 species
GUGAGGAAUAUUGGGCAAUGGGCGCAAGCCUGACCCAGCCAUGCCGCGUGAAGGUAGAAGGCCCUAUGGGUUGUAAACUUCUUUUAUACGGGAAGAAACUUCCGAACGUGUUCGGAAUUGACUGUACCGUAGGAAUAAGCAUCGGCUAACUCCGUACCAGCAGCCGCGGUAAUACGGAGGAUGCAAGUGUUAUCCGGAUUUAUUGGGUUUAAAGGGUGCGUAGGCGGAAUGAUAAGUCAGUGGUGAAAGCCUGCGGCUUAACCGUAGAACUGCCAUUGAUACUGUUGUUCUUGAGUAUAGUUGAGGUGGGCGGAAUGUGUAAUGUAGCGGUGAAAUGCUUAGAUAUUACACAGAACACCGAUUGCGAAGGCAGCUCACUAAGCUGUUACUGACGCUGAGGCACGAAAGCGUGGGGAGCAAACAGGAUUAGAAACCCGUGUAGUCC